UUUUUAAUUUGAUGGUGGAAAUACUAUUAAUUUCUGGUUUCAUUUUACCCUGUUCUUCCUCUUAGGUGCCUAAACAAUGAUAUCCUGAUUCGCUUUUGGCAAAUCUUAAUUACUUUUACCAACAGUCUCUACAAUUAAGAGGCUUAAGGAGACACGCAUUACUAAAAUCAAAGCUGUUCAUAUCUGCUGCUUUCUCACUAGUGAGUGAUUUCUGUGAAAGCUUGGCAAGUGUCUCAUGAGCUCCCGCUAAGGAUGCAACUACCA
rnacentral:lncRNA from 1 species